rnacentral:rRNA from 1 species
AUUGAACGCUGGCGGCAGGCCUAACACAUGCAAGUCGAGCGAGCGGCGGACGCGUGAGUAAUGUCUGGGAAAAUGUCUGAUGGAGGGGGAUACCUCCUGGUGACGGUCGCUAAUACCGCAUACCAUCAGAUGUGCCCAGAUGGGAUUAGCUAGGAGGUGGGGUAACGGCGCACCUAUGCGACGAUCCCUAGCUGGUCGGAGAGGAUUACCAGUCACACUGGAAAGGAGACAAGGUCAAGACUCCUACGGGAGGAAGAAGUGGGGAAGAUUGGACAAUGGGCGCAAGCCUGAUGCAGACAUGCAGCGUGUGUGAAGAAGGCCUUCGGGUUGUAAAGCACUUUCAGCGAGGAGGCGUUACCCGCAGAAGAAGAACCGGCUAACUCCGUGCCAGCAGCCGCGGUAAUUC